rnacentral:tRNA from 1 species
GUUUAUAUAGUUUAAAUUUAAAACUUUACAUUUUCAUUGUAAAAAUAAAAAAAAAUUUUUUUAUAAAUA